AUUUUUUAUUUCUUUCAUGGCAGAAUCAAGCUUUCAUAAGAAACAGACAACCUCAUAAAGAGUUUACCUGCCCUGGGGUCAGAGGUCACAGUUUAAAUCUGUGUUCAUAUAUGAGUGUUGUUAGUAUUAGUAUCUGUCUGUAUUUCUUGUUACUUUAUUGCAGGUUUUGUGGUUCUAAACACAGAUGCUUUUAAUAAUAAGAUGUUCCUUGUGAUUGUGCUGUGCAUUCUUCAUGUUUAAAGCUGUUUUUCUCCUGCGUCUGCAGCGUGAUCUCCAGCGGAUGCUGAUGGAUGGACCCUCCUUGCCUCUCUGUUGAUUCAGCAGUUGGAUUCAGCAUUUUCCAGGAAAAUUACCUCUUCUUCAGGACGGAAGAAGCUCGGCUGCACGACUGGCUCUUCAGCAGGACCAUCAAUCCAUUAUUAACAGAUGUUUAAAUAUGCCACAUGCAUGCAAUCGGGAAUCAUGUUUGCAAGGUUCAGAAGCAUCAUUUCAUCCAGUGAGAUCAGAUGUUUCAUGCUUUAGGUUAGGUUUAUGCCUCCAGAUCUCUGCAUCUCCUGUAAUCGAUCUGACCGUGUUGUGUCCGAGUCACAUGACCGCCGUGACGGAGCUCGCCGCUCUGGAGGAGAACCUGGCUGGGUUUUCCUGGUGCAGUCUGUCCUGGUCCUCCCAAAUUAAUCAGAUUUACUGAGCCGGCCAUAUGUUCAGACAGCGUGAUCCUGCCCACCCUAAACCCCGAUCAGCCUCCUCUGAACAUCUCAGGUCAGCACUCAAGAACACCGCUUCUUCACUGGCUUUCAGCAACAAGGCUCUUCAGAGGUUCUUAGAUUUAUAACACGCGUGAUCAUGCAUUUCCUUCCUUAUUAAAUCAUGUCUGAAAGCAGCCCAGACAUCUACAAACUUGGAUUUCUUUUUACUAGGAAUAGUUCAGCCAAAAAUGAAAAUGUUCUCUCAGGCCAUCUGAGAUCAGGAUGAGUUUGUUUGUUCAUCAGGUUUGUAGAAAUGCAGCAUUGCAUCAGUGUCUCAGCAGUGAAUGCUCUGCAGUGAAUGGGUGCCGUCAGAAUGAGAGUCCAAACAGCUGAUAAAAACAUCACAAUAAUCCACAAGUAAUCCACAGCACUCCAGUCCAUCAGUGAACAUCUGGAGAAGACAAAAGCUGAAACAAAUCCACCAUUAAGAUGUUUUUAACUCAAAUACAUAGAGUCUAUAAUCCAUAAUAACACUUCCUCCAGUGAAAAAGUGUUCUGGUGUGAAUCAGGAGAGAAAUCUGCACAGAUCAAGCAGCAUUUAAACAGCUCUAAACAAAUAUGUGUCUGGAUUUUGAUGUGAGAGACAACAGCAGAUGCACUUUUUCACUGGAGGAAGUGUUAUUAUGGAUUAUGGACUCUAUGUAUUUGAGUUAAAAACAUCUUAAUGGUGGAUUUGUUUCAUCUUUUGUCUUCUCCAGAUGUUAACUGAUGGACUGGAGUGCUGUGGAUUACUUGUGGAUUAUUGUGAUGUUUUUAUCAGCUGUUUGGACUCUCAUUCUGACGGCACCUAUUCACUGCACUGGUAAAACUUGUUGUGAUCUUUGACUGUACAUUCAGUCACACCUGUCUGUUUAUUUGACUCUCCUCAGGUCUUUAGGCCAAUAACGACUGUGCUGCUCUUCUAAGACGCCACUAAACAUGUGAAACACAUUUAAUGAGGUGCAACUGUGAGUCCUGAGGGGAAAUACUUCGGUAAGUCUUCACCGCUGUCUAUUACACCUGCCUUUGUGUCCAAAUAUUUACCUGAAACAUGAUGCGGUGAAGU
ensembl:lncRNA